rnacentral:rRNA from 1 species
UACAGAGGGGGCAAGCGUUGUUCGGAAUUACUGGGCGUAAAGGGCGCGUAGGCGGCCCGCUAAGUCGAACGUGAAAUCCCCAGGCUCAACCCGGGAACUGCGUCCGAUACUGGCAGGCUUGAAUCCGGGAGAGGGAUGUGGAAUUCCAGGUGUAGCGGUGAAAUGCGUAGAUAUCUGGAGGAACACCGGUGGCGAAGGCGGCAUCCUGGACCGGUAUUGACGCUGAGGCGCGAAAGCUAGGGGAGCAAACGGG